ensembl:snRNA U6 U6 spliceosomal RNA
UUGCUUUGGCAGCACAUAUAAUAAAAUUGGAACAAUACAGAGAAGAUUAGCAAGGUCCCUGUGCGAGGAUGACGUGCAAAUUCAUGAAGCAUUCUUUUUUGUU